rnacentral:rRNA from 1 species
UGGGGAAUUUUGGACAAUGGGCGCAAGCCUGAUCCAGCCAUGCCGCGUGCGGGAAGAAGGCCUUCGGGUUGUAAACCGCUUUUGUCAGGGAAGAAAUCUUCUGAGUUAAUACCUCGGGAGGAUGACGGUACCUGAAGAAUAAGCACCGGCUAACUACGUGCCAGCAGCCGCGGUAAUACGUAGGGUGCAAGCGUUAAUCGGAAUUACUGGGCGUAAAGCGUGCGCAGGCGGUUUUGUAAGACAGAGGUGAAAUCCCCGGGCUCAACCUGGGAACUGCCUUUGUGACUGCAAAGCUUGAGUGCGGCAGAGGGGGAUGGAAUUCCGCGUGUAGCAGUGAAAUGCGUAGAUAUGCGGAGGAACACCGAUGGCGAAGGCAAUCCCCUGGGCCUGCACUGACGCUCAUGCACGAAAAGCGUGGGGAGCAAAACAGGAUUAGAUACCCUGGUAGUCCACGCCCUAAAACGAUGUCAACUGGUUGUUGGGAAGGUUCCUUCUCAGUAACGUAGCUAACGCGUGAAAGUUGACCGCCUGGGGAGUACGGCCGCAAGGUUGAAAACUCAAAUGAAUUGACGGGGUCAUAGCUGUUUCC